GCGGUAAUUCCAGCUCCAAUAGCGUAUAUUAAAGUUGCUGCAGUUAAAAAGCUCGUAGUUGGAUUUGUGGAGCGGCCGUCCGGCGGGGGUCCUUUACUGGUCCCGUUUGUCCUGGUUUUCGGCCGCUCCUUUCUCGGGUAAAGCGUAAUGGCUGGCAUUAGGUUGCCGGCCGCUUCGCGCCCGUCGUUUACUGUGAAAAAAUUAGAGUGUUCAAAGCAGGCUUAGGCCGUUGGAUACAUUAGCAUGGAAUAAUGAGAUAGGGCCACCGCGGUCUAUUUUGUUGGUUUGCACGUUGUGGUAAUGAUUAACAGGAACGGUUGGGGGUAUUCGUAUUCAAUUGUCAGAGGUGAAAUUCUUGGAUU
rnacentral:rRNA from 1 species